rnacentral:rRNA from 1 species
GAUGAACGCUGGCGGCGUGCCUAACACAUGCAAGUCGAGCGAUGAAAUUUUAACCGUUCUCUUCGGAGGGUAGAUAAAAAGGAUUAGCGGCGGACGGGUGAGUAACACGUGAGAAACCUGCCUAUCACAAGGGGAUAGCCUCGGGAAACCGGGAUUAAUACACUAUGACACAUCUCCUUCGCAUGGAAGACAUGUUAAAACUCAGGUGAUGAAGGAUGGUCUCGCGCCUGAUUAGCUAGUUGGCGGGGUAACGGCACAUCAAGGCCAGGACGAGUACACGGGAUGUGAGAGUCGACCGUCACAUCGACACGGGGACACGGUCCAGACUCCUACGGGAGGCAGCAGUGCCGAAUGUUGCACAGUCGAGUAAGCGCUGAUGCAGCGACGCCGCUUAAGCGAUGAAGGCUGUCGAGUCGAAAAGCGCUGGCCUAUGUGAACAUAAUGACGGUACCAAAUGAGAAAGCCCCGGCUAACUACGUG